CGGCCCGCGAGUGGGGCUGCGCUCGCGGCUGCUGUCUCGCUCCAGUCAGGGCUGGGGCUCACCCUGCGAGUCCGGGAGACUAAAGCGCCGCGUAAACACAGGAAGCAGGCGAGGGACCCGAGUUAGACCUUGAGUAGGGAGGGAGAGGGGGGCGACAGUCUGGACUGGGAGACAGCUUUCUGGGAGCCCUGUCCCCUCCCCGGAGAAUGCAAAUUCCGGAGGGAGCCCUCGAUGUCAGCAGGAGUCCGGGACAAUCCAAUACCAGGCGGGGCGCAGCGGAGGCUGGCAGGCACGCCCUGGGAGG
rnacentral:lncRNA from 1 species